AUACCUUUCUCGGCCUUUUGGCUAAGAUCAAAUGUAAUAUCUAUUUUUAUUAGUCUAAUAUUUAAUAUAUGGGCCAUGUGCCCACAAUGGUAUUAAAUUUAUUUUUUAUGGGGGAGGGUCUACAAUAAUGGCUUGCCAUUGAUACCCUCAUGUGUCGUAUGGACAUUGCACUACUGCUCAGGCUAGGCGCACCCCAA
rnacentral:snRNA from 1 species